rnacentral:misc_RNA from 1 species
AGAGUUAAUCUGGGAGUACAUUAGGGCCGUCCACACAUCAAGGCUAUCAGGUGGAGCUGCAAAAAUGCCAAGGACUGCUAAUUGGAGCCCAGAAGCUGAUUUUUACCGAGAAUUGUUCAGGACCCAGAAAUUUGUGCGGAGAGUGUCCUCUACUGAACUGGGUGCUGCUCUUGUGAGCAAAGAAAGCAAUGAUCAUGAAAUAUCUACACAAGUUAUAACAAGCUACAUGCUGAUGGGUGUUAUCAA